rnacentral:rRNA from 1 species
UACGGAGGGUGCGAGCGUUGUCCGGAAUCACUGGGCGUAAAGGGCGCGUAGGCGGCGCGAUAAGGCGGCGGUGAAAGUCCGGGGCUCAACCCCGGAUCGGCCGUGGCGACUGUCGCGCUGGAGCACAGUAGAGGCGGGUGGAAUCCCGGGUGUAGCGGUGGAAUGCGUAGAGAUCCGGAAGAACACCGGUGGCGAAGGCGGCCCGCUGGGCUGUGGCUGACGCUGAGGCGCGAAAGCGUGGGGAACAAACAGG